rnacentral:rRNA from 1 species
GGAUUAACGCUGGCGGCGUGCAUAACACAUGCAAGUCGAACGAUGAAACUUAAAUGAUUUCUUCGGAAUGAACUUAAGUGGAUUAGUGGCGGACGGGUGAGUAACGCGUGAGUAACCUGCCUUACACAAGGGGAUAGCCGUUGGAAACGACGAAUAAUACCCUAUGAAACUAUCACUUCGCAUGAAGCGAUAGUCAAAGUGUUAGCGGUGUAAGAUGGACUUGCGUCUGAUUAGCUAGUUGGUGAGAAAAAAGCCCACCAAGGCAACGAUCAGUAGCCGGCUUGAGAGAGUGUACGGCCACAUUGGGACUGAGACACGGCCCAGACUCCUACGGGAGGCAGCAGUGGGGAAUUUUGCACAAUGGGGGAAACCCUGAUGCAGCGACGCCGCGUGAUUUAGAAGGCCUUCGGGUUGUAAAAAUCUUUUGUAUAGGAAGAAAAUGACAGUACUAUACGAAUAAGGUCCGGCUAAUUACGUG